CGAAGCUGGAAUCGCUAGUAAUCGCGAAUCAGCAUGUCGCGGGUGAAUACGUUCCCGGGUCUUGUACACACCGCCCGUCACACCAUGGGAGUCAGCAACGCCCGAAGUCAGUGACCUAACCGAGAGGAAGGAGCUGCCGAAGGCGGGGCAGGUAACUGGGGUGAAGUCGUAACAAGGUACC
rnacentral:rRNA from 1 species